rnacentral:rRNA from 1 species
CCUACGGGUGGCUGCAGUGAGGAAUAUUGGUCAAUGGGCGCGAGCCUGAACCAGCCAAGUAGCGUGAAGGAUGACUGCCCUACGGGUUGUAAACUUCUUUUAUAAAGGAAUAAAGUGAGGCACGUGAGCCUUUUUGUUUGUACUUUAUGAAUAAGGAUCGGCUAACCCCGUGCCAGCAGCCGCGGUAAUACGGUGGAUCCGAGCGUUCUCCGGAUUUAUUGGGUUUAAAGGGAGCGUAGGUGGGUUGAUAAGUUAGUUGUGAAAGUUUGCGGCUCAACCGUAAAAUUGCAAUUGAUACUGGCAGACUUGAGUGCAGUUGAGGUAGGCGGAAUUCGUGGUGUAGCGGUGGAAUGCUUAGAUAUCACGAAGAACUCCGAUUGCGAAGGCAGCUUGCUAAACUGCAACUGACAUUGAUGCUCGAAAGUGUGGGUAUCGAACAGGAUUAGAUACCCGAGUAGUC